UAGAACAAUCAAAAAAAUCGAAAACUUUCGAUAAAUCAAAUUAUUGAAAUAAGCCGUUUAGCAUAAUUGAAUCGUAUAGCAACCAAGAAAGGAAGCACCGUGUUGGAAAUAUGUACACGAACCAUACAUAGCUGUAAGUGUAUGCAUAUGUUUGCUUCCGGUUCAACAGACCAUAUAGCAAUGAUGGUCACAUGAAUCGAUUCCAUCAACGUCAUCUCGAACAGUCACACGCCGAUUCAUUUUUAUUCAAAGAAAAAUCUUACAAAUUAUAAAUAAUGGAAAAAGUGAGACUGUUGAACAGAAACACCUGUUCCGUAUGCUGAAAAUGGUAGCUUUGGUUUACAUUUUCAUAAAAUAAUGGCUUCUAAACGCCGAUGCCGGCGAGCAACAAUCAUAUCUUGUUACAGUUUCUUUUGAAAAUAUUAAGACAAAGUACCUUAAGGUGAAAAUGGCAUGGGUAGAUGAACCAUUUCAAUUUAUUGGAUUUAGGCACAUAACGAAUCAAAACCAAAUAUUAUAACAACUGCAACUGAAAAACUUCGAUCAACUGCACACUUUGAUCAUGGAAUUCCGUAUGGCUUAACAAAUAAAAUCCAUGAAAAUUGCAUAUCAGCAAUGCUAAUUCAGCAAAAAUAAUUCACGAUAAAUUAAAAGCAAAUUUACCAAAUGUGAAAAAAAAUUGUAAAUAUUUUGUACUCGACAAAAAACACUUGCUAAACAUAUUUGCAUACACACGAAAAUUUAAAGUGUAUUUCAAAUAAAUUCAAAUUUAGUGAUGAUCACAGAUCAUCCUUGCGCUUCCAACCAAUUUGAAUAUGAAAAGAAAAAGUUGUCUUCUACAGACAUGUGCAAAAU